rnacentral:rRNA from 1 species
CGGAAUUACUGGGCGUAAAGGGCGCGUAGGCGGCCUGCUAAGUCGAACGUGAAAUCCCCGGGCUCAACCCGGGAACUGCGUCCGAUACUGGCAGGCUUGAAUCCGGGAGAGGGAUGCGGAAUUCCAGGUGUAGCGGUGAAAUGCGUAGAUAUCUGGAGGAACACCGGCGGCGAAGGCGGCAUCCUGGACCGGCAUUGACGCUGAGGCGCGAAAGCGUGGGGAGCAAACAGG